CUCUUAUCCAGAGAGGUGGAGGGACUGGCCCGAUGAAACCCGGCAACCGGAUGCGCAGCAUAACCGGUGCCAAUUCCUGCUGGAUCGCGAUCCAGAGAGAUAAGAG
rnacentral:ncRNA from 2 species